UAAGGAAUAUUGGUCAAUGGACGCAAGUCUGAACCAGCCAUGCCGCGUGAAGGAUGAAGGCCCUCUGGGUUGUAAACUUCUUUUACCUGGGACGAAAAAUGAGAAUUCUUUCUCACUUGACGGUACCAGAGGAAUAAGCACCGGCUAACUCCGUGCCAGCAGCCGCGGUAAUACGGAGGGUGCAAGCGUUAUCCGGAUUCACUGGGUUUAAAGGGUGCGUAGGUGGGUCUGUAAGUCAGUGGUGAAAUCU
rnacentral:rRNA from 1 species